GGGGGUGCUGUGGUUCACUGGCAGAGCAUCUGCUUUGUAUGCAAGAGGUCUCAAGAUCAGUCCUUGACAUCUCCA
rnacentral:tRNA from 1 species